rnacentral:rRNA from 1 species
GACGAACGCUGGCGGCGUGCCUAAUACAUGCAAGUCGAGCGAAGUUUUUCUGGUGCUUGCACCGGAAAAACUUAGCGGCGAACGGGUGAGUAACACGUAAAGAACCUGCCUCAUAGACUGGGACAACUAUUGGAAACGAUAGCUAAUACCGGAUAACAGCAUUAACUGCAUGGUUGAUGUUUAAAAGUUGGUUUUGCUAACACUAUGAGAUGGCUUUGCGGUGCAUUAGCUAGUUGGUGGGGUAAAGGCCUACCAAGGCGACGAUGCAUAGCCGACCUGAGAGGGUGAUCGGCCACACUGGGACUGAGACACGGCCCAGACUCCUACGGGAGGCAGCAGUAGGGAAUCUUCCGCAAUGGGCGAAAGCCUGACGGAGCAACGCCGCGUGAGUGAAGAAGGAUUUCGGUUCGUAAAGCUCUGUUGUUAGGGAAGAAUGAUUGUGUAGUAACUAUACACAGUAGAGACGGACC